rnacentral:rRNA from 1 species
ACGCGUUGGGAGCUCUCCCAUAUGGUCGACCUGCAGGCGGCCGCGAAUUCACUAGUGAUUGGAAACAGGUGCUAAUACCGUAUAACAACGUCGUUCGCAUGAACAACGCUUAAAGAUGGCUUCUCGCUAUCACUUCUGGAUGGACCUGCGGUGCAUUAGCUUGUUGGUGGGGUAAUGGCCUCCCAAGGCGAUGAUGCAUAGCCGAGUUGAGAGACUGAUCGGCCACAAUGGGACUGAGACACGGCCCAUACUCCUACGGGAGGCAGCAGUAGGGAAUCUUCCACAAUGGGCGCAAGCCUGAUGGAGCAACACCGCGUGAGUGAAGAAGGGUUUCGGCUCGUAAAGCUCUGUUGUUAAAGAAGAACACGUAUGAGAGUAACUGUUCAUACGUUGACGGUAUUUAACCAGAAAGUCACGGCUAACUGCGUGCCAGCAGCCGCGGUAAUACGAUAAUCGAAUUCCCGCGGCCGCCAUGGCGGCCG